rnacentral:rRNA from 1 species
AUAAGGUUAAGUGAAUAAGGGCGCACGGUGGAUGCCUUGGCACUAGGAGCCGAUGAAGGACGGGACUAACACCGAUAUGCUUCGGGGAGCUGUAAGUAAGCUUUGAUCCGGAGAUUUCCGAAUGGGGAAACCCAGCAUCUUUUAUAGGAUGUUACUUUUCAGUGAAUACAUAGCUGAUUAGAGGUAGACGCAGAGAACUGAAACAUCUAAGUACCUGCAGGAAGAGAAAGAAAAUUCGAUUCCCUGAGUAGCGGCGAGCGAAACGGGAAAAGCCCAAACCAAGAGGCUUGCCUCUUGGGGUUGUAGGACUCCGAUAUGGUAGUUCAGUGAGAUAGUCGAAGGACCUGGAAAGGUCUGCUAGAAAGGGUAAAAGCCCCGUAGACAAAAUUUGACUGGCACCUAGGAGGAUCCUGAGUACGGCGGAACACGAGGAAUUCCGUCGGAAUCCGGGAGGACCAUCUCCCAAGGCUAAAUACUCCCUAGUGACCGAUAGUGAACCAGUACCGUGAGGGAAAGGUGAAAAGCACCCCGGAAGGGGAGUGAAAUAGAUCCUGAAACCGUGUGCCUACAACAAGUUAGAGCCCGUUAAUGGGUGAUAGCGUGCCUUUUGUAGAAUGAACCGGCGAGUUACGAUUACUUGCGAGGUUAAGUUGAAAAGACGGAGCCGCAGCGAAAGCGAGUCUGAAUAGGGCGAAUGAGUAAGUGGUCGUAGACCCGAAACCAUGUGAUCUACCCAUGUCCAGGUUGAAGGUGCGGUAAAACGCACUGGAGGACCGAACCCACGUACGUUGAAAAGUGCGGGGAUGAGGUGUGGGUAGCGGAGAAAUUCCAAACGAACUUGGAGAUAGCUGGUUCUCUCCGAAAUAGCUUUAGGGCUAGCCUCAGAGUAAGAAUGAUGGAGGUAGAGCACUGUUUGGACUAGGGGCCCAUCUCGGGUUACCGAAUUCAGAUAAACUCCGAAUGCCAUUCAUUCAUCUCUGGGAGUCAGACUGUGAGUGAUAAGAUCCAUAGUCGAAAGGGAAACAGCCCAGACCACCAGCUAAGGUCCCCAAAUAACUAUUAAGUGGAAAAGGAUGUGGGGUUGCACAGACAACUAGGAUGUUGGCUUAGAAGCAGCCACCAUUUAAAGAGUGCGUAAUAGCUCACUAGUCGAGUGACCCUGCGCCGAAAAUGUACCGGGGCUAAAUAGUUUACCGAAGCUGUGGAGCACACCUUUANNNNNNNNNNNNNNNNNNNNNNNNNNNNNNNNNNNNNNNNNNNNNNNNNNNNNNNNNNNNNNNNNNNNNNNNNNNNNNNNNNNNNNNNNNNNNNNNNNAAGGUGUGUUGGUAGGAGAGCGUUCUAAGGGCGUUGAAGGCAGAUCGUGAGGACUGCUGGAGCGCUUAGAAGUGAGAAUGCCGGUAUGAGUAGCGAAAGACAGGUGAGAAUCCUGUCCACCGAAUGACUAAGGUUUCCUGGGGAAGGCUCGUCCGCCCAGGGUUAGUCGGGACCUAAGCCGAGGCCGAAAGGCGUAGGCGAUGGAUAACAGGUUGAUAUUCCUGUACCCGUUGUUUUUGUUUGAGCAAUGGAGGGACGCAGGAGGCUAAGGAAUCAGACGAUUGGAAAUGUCUGUCCAAGCAACAAGUCUUGAUGUGAGUCAAAUGCUUACGUCUUUAAGGACAAGUUGUGAUGGGGAGGGAAAUAAUAGUACCGAAGUUCCCGAUGUCACACUGCCGAGAAAAGCUUCUAGUAAGAAAACAAUGGCCCGUACCGCAAACCGACACAGGUAGUCGAGGAGAGAAUCCUAAGGUGAGCGAGAGAACUCUCGUUAAGGAACUCGGCAAAAUGACCCCGUAACUUCGGGAGAAGGGGUGCUGAUCUAACGAUCAGCCGCAGUGAAUAGGCCCAAGCGACUGUUUAUCAAAAACACAGGUCUCUGCAAAAUCGAAAGAUGACGUAUAGGGGCUGACGCCUGCCCGGUGCUGGAAGGUUAAGAGGAGUGCUUAGCGUAAGCGAAGGUACGAAUUGAAGCCCCAGUAAACGGCGGCCGUAACUAUAACGGUCCUAAGGUAGCGAAAUUCCUUGUCGGGUAAGUUCCGACCCGCACGAAAGGCGUAACGAUUUGGGCACUGUCUCAACGAGAGACUCGGUGAAAUUUUAGUACCUGUGAAGAUGCAGGUUACCCGCGACAGGACGGAAAGACCCCAUGGAGCUUUACUGCAGUUUGAUAUUGAGUGUUUGUACCACAUGUACAGGAUAGGUAGGAGCCGUAGAAGUCGGGACGCUAGUUUCGACAGAGGCGCUGGUGGGAUACUACCCUUGUGUUAUGACCACUCUAACCCGCACCACUAAUCGUGGUGGGAGACAGUGUCAGAUGGGCAGUUUGACUGGGGCGGUCGCCUCCUAAAGAGUAACGGAGGCGCCCAAAGGUUCCCUCAGAAUGGUUGGAAAUCAUUCGCAGAGUGUAAAGGCACAAGGGAGCUUGACUGCGAGACCUACAAGUCGAGCAGGGACGAAAGUCGGGCUUAGUGAUCCGGUGGUUCCGCAUGGAAGGGCCAUCGCUCAACGGAUAAAAGCUACCCUGGGGAUAACAGGCUUAUCUCCCCCAAGAGUCCACAUCGACGGGGAGGUUUGGCACCUCGAUGUCGGCUCGUCGCAUCCUGGGGCUGUAGUCGGUCCCAAGGGUUGGGCUGUUCGCCCAUUAAAGCGGCACGCGAGCUGGGUUCAGAACGUCGUGAGACAGUUCGGUCCCUAUCCGUCGCGGGCGUUGGAAAUUUGAGAGGAUCUGUCCUUAGUACGAGAGGACCGGGAUGGACUUACCGCUGGUGUACCAGUUGUCUCGCCAGAGGCAUCGCUGGGUAGCUAUGUAGGGAAGGGAUAAACGCUGAAAGCAUCUAAGUGUGAAGCCCACCUCAAGAUGAGAUUUCCCAUUUCUUAAAGAAAGUAAGAUCCCUGAGAGAAGAUCAGGUAGAUAGGUCAGGAGUGGAAGUGCAGUGAUGUACGGAGCGGACUGAUACUAAUCGAUCGAGGACUUAACCAAAA